AUGGCGCUUUUUGAUGAGUUUUACGUGGGCACUAGUGACUUAUCCCGCCUUAACUACGGGAUCAUUACUCUCAUCCCCAAGGUCACUAGGGCCUCGGACAUCCACCAGUUUUAUGCGAUCACGGUGAUCAAUGUGAUCUUCCGCAUCCUGGCGAAGGGGGUAGCUAAUAGGGUGACCUUGCUGGCCGACCGCAUCACCCAUCCCAAUCAGUUUCCCUUCAUCCAAGGAUGAUAUAUUAUGGAUGGGGUCUUGGUUUUCCAUGAAGUCCUUCAUGAGGUCCGUGCUAGAAACCUGAAGGCGGUCUUCCUGAAGAUUGACUUUAAUAAAUUCUAUGACAUGGUACAUUGGCCCUUCCUUUGGGAAGUGCUCCUCCGGAAGGGUUUUGAUGAUCGAUGGGUCAGCAAGGUCAUGCAGAUGGUUUCUUGUGGGCGCACCGCGGUUAAUAUCAACGGCGAGGUCGGACCCUUCUUCCAAGGCAGGGUGAUCCCUUCUCCCCCUUUCUGUUCAAUAUGGUGGUCGACGCCCUCGCCACCAUCCUAG
rnacentral:rRNA from 1 species